rnacentral:rRNA from 1 species
CACGUAGGGCGCAAGCGUUGUCCGGAAUUAUUGGGCGUAAAGAGCUCGUAGGCGGUCUGUUGCGUCUGCUGUGAAAGUCGGAGGCUCAACCUUCGAAAGCCGGUGGAUACUGCGUGACUAGAGUACGGAAGAGGAGAGUGGAAUUCCUGGUGUAGCGGUGAAAUGCGCAGAUAUCAGGAGGAACACCAACGGCGAAGGCAGCUCUCUGGGACGUUACUGACGCUGAGACGCGAAAGCGUGGGGAGCAAACAGG